GUAAAUUAGUGGAUUUAAGAAAAGUGAGCACUUUGGUUUGAUAACCGUUGUGCAUGGUAGACACUAAGGCUUGAUUAUUUCCUUUUUAUGAAUUUAUCAAUUCUAGUUGUAAUUUGAUUUAUUCUGUUGAUCAUAAAGUGUGUAAAUAUAACAAUAAAUGUUUCCUGAACGUUCGUAUAUCUCUAAGAUAUAGGACAGACACUUCGGAACAAACGUCCUUUAGAUCCUUUUUUGGAGUGUGCAGAGCUGUCAUCAAGGCAAAGGGGGACUACUUUGAAGAAUCUCAAAUAUAAAAUAUAUUUAGAUUUGUUUAAAACAUUUUUGGUUACUACAUGAUUCCCUAUGUGUUAUUUCAUAGUUUUGAUGUCUUCACUAUUAUUCUACAAUGUAGAAAAUAAAGAAAAACCCUGGAUGCGUAGGUGUGUCCAAACUUUUGAGUGGUACUGUAUAUAUUUAUUUUACUUUAAUGGAUCUUAAAAAUCAAAUAGCAAAUGAUCCUUGAUAUGACCUUCUUAAAGCAAUUCUUUAUAGCUUAGUAGAGCGUUUUCAGAUCAAGCAUUAAUUGCCUCUUAGACAGUGCUUAGACUGUUCAGUGCUGAAAAUAAGGGUUAUACAUGUUCAAAAUAAAUAAUGUUUCCUGAUCUUUCUUAUAUCUCUCACAUAUAGGACAGACAAUUCCAAACUUCCUUUUGAAUCUUUUGCAGACUACCUGUUCCAUGAAGUGAAUUUGUUAUACAAUGCUUUUGUAUGGGUUAAUAGUAAGGCCCAAAAUAAUUUUCCUAAUUGGAUAUAAAAAAAAUGUAUACUCUUAAAAUAAUUCAAACUCAAAUAGCUAAAUGUUUCUUGGUAUGACCUUCUUAAAACAAUUCCAUAUAGCUUAGUACCUAUAACAAUACUGAACCAAAGUAAGUUUGUGGAAAUAAUCAUGAAUAGUGAGCACUUUGGUUUGAUAACAGUUUUGCAUAAUAGACAUUUAAUAGGGAUUUUGUUUUUGAAGUGUGUGCCCUCUCUGUAAGUCAGUAUCUGGCCCUCAUGGUGCCCCACAUCCAUGUCCAUUCUGAAGAGCACAGAAGCCAAGAUCCUUGACAGUUAGUCCACUUAUCUAAUAUGUCUGAAAGUAUUUCACAGGUACACACCAGUCCUGACUUGACUACUUGAUUAUGUCACAUUGUAUCGCCCGCACUUUUUGUGGUCUCACCUCCAUUUUUCUCCUUUUCCGAGACUCAAAAUGAUGUGUGGGCUCGUUUUGUGUCCCUGCCCAAUCAGGAUUUGGACCCUAACUGUCACCAACAGGAACCAGCUAAAUGCUCCCAAGCCUGGUACUCUCUGUCCCCUUCUCUAUAGUGUUUUUGUCAGUCAGUACCAAAUACUCACUUUUCCAGUGGAGUGGACAUACCUUUUGUACUACAUUGAGUCCGCCUACCAUUUCCCUUUUCCUCCUCUAUUCCAGUUGCACAGACACCUCUUAGGAUGGUCCAUGAUAUGGAUUUGGGGGAGGGGUAGGGUUUUGGAUACUUAACCUAGACCCUUCUGUCGCUCUCAACCACACUUUGUGUUUGACUUGCUGGGUUUCGGACAGACCCCAAUUCCCCAUGGACUCAGCUCUGGCUGAGGAGCAGUCAGUCAGCACUGGAGGCGGGCCCUUGACCUGGAUCGCAUGCUCCUAUUGGGUCACUGUCUGGACUGCUACUUGGCAGCAUCUUAUGCCAUUCAAUACCCUGAGAGUCAGUCACCUGAUUCUGGUUGACCGCUGGGGCUUCCAGCCCAUGCCUGUAGACGCAACCUCAGGAUUGACCAGACCAGGCUGCCCUUGGACCCGAAUAGCCUUUUCCACACUUUUCAACCCACUGGCAUUGAUCUGAGCCGCAGGACCCUCGGGUGAGAGGGGACUGGUUGUCUGAGUGGCAUGGCUUGUGGUUCAGGGAUUAAAGAUAAUAUAGAUAAUAUAUUAUAAUAUAACUCUUUCUUUUGAUAUUUUGUCUCCUUUUUUCCCUAAUCUUUACGACCCCAUCUUUAUUUCCCAGGUCAAAAAUUAGUUAACAGAUUUGGUCCGGAUUUCAAUGGGAGGUUUCAGGGCCUACUUGAUAAAGACACUAUAGACAGAUUGGCUGACAUUGUCAUGAAAAUGAUGCGCUCACAUUGAUGUGGCCGGAAGGUGUCCUUUAGGAUACUGAACAGUCCUAUAUCUAGCAACAAUGACAAGAAGCUGCCUCGUGGGUAAUUGUAAGUGGCUAAUUUCAGCUCGUUGUAUCUUGUUAUUGAUACCAUGUCUUGUUUUGGCUGAUGUCAUGUCUAUGCUAAUAUAGCAAAAUUUCGCUAGCUAGCUAAUCAAUAUCACCAUUCACUAGCUAGCUAAGAAUGUAUUUGAGAGACAAGUGAUCAUUGUGCAAAUGUAUUUGUCUUUUCAAUAAACAUUUUCAGACAAAA